AAAGCUAAUUUCCUCGUAACUUUUAGAAAAAAAAAGUUUGAUAUUUUCUGUCCACCGCCGGAUCCGUUGUUCAAACAUUCCAAGAGUAAUUAGCAUUCCGGCAAACUGCUUCAGAAAGUUCGAGCACGAAGUUGUCUUCCUCCUGAAAAAUCGGAACCAUAAAAUCUUCAGAAAUGGUUAUCAACUUUUCGGAAUUAACAGAUGUUUCGGAAUACGGCUUGUUCGCUGAAAGUGAUCGGAAUAAAACCGGCGAGUAUAGCUGUGUGCUGCUGAAUUCUUCUCUAUUCAUUAGGAACAAAUACCGCCACCGGAUCAUCUCAGAAUCAUGGAAGUGUUUAUGCAUAAAAUCUUUGAAAUGGACAGCGGAAGAUGGAUUACGAUACUGCUAAUUAAUGGAUACCUACAUUCGAGUUGGAUGAAAAAAGUACUACUUCCGGGAACAGAAACAGCUACGAUUUUUUACAUGUUCCGAAUUGAAAGGGCAGCUUAACUCCAUUUUAAAUUAAUAAUUCAAUAGUGAAAGUGAAUUCAACAUUGUGAUAAAAUUUUAUUUGAUAAUUAAGAAUACAGAAUUUAAAAACAUUUAUUUUUUAUCUUUGCUACUUAAAGAUCUGUUUGAUAGGUAUCUUACGAACACAUUCGAAGCUUCUUUGGGGGGUCCAAUUCCGAUAGCAAAUAAAAGUUUACAGUCGAUUCUUG